rnacentral:lncRNA from 1 species
GAUGAACGUGUCCGUCUGCUCAGAGAAAGGACAAAAAUUCUUUGAAAAUCUAGUCUCCAGAGUUAAGGUGUGUAUGACUCUGCAUGUGUGUUUUUGUGUCUCAGUGUAGUUAAGAGAUGUUCAUUCCGUAUUGUGGCUGUGAGAUGAUUUUAUUUCAUUUCUGUCCCCACCACUGUUGUCAUUCCAUAUUGAUUGUCAUUCCAACCUGGAGAAGACUUGAGCCCUCUGGUUGGCACUCUUGUUUGUUACCUCAUUCAUUCUCCAGUGAAUUCCACCUGACCAGCUGAUUCAGAAUCAGGCACGCUUCCCACCCUUUGGCACAUCCAGUAAAAGGCCAAACAGCAAGUCUGAGUUCUAAAUUUUAAUUAAUCACUCCCUUUUUUUUUUUUUUUUUUUUUUACACUUGAGAGUGGUUGUAAUAAAGGCUGUCAUUAAUAAACUUGGUUCUACCUU